ensembl:lncRNA
GGAAAGUAGUUCCCAGACUCCACAAGAUCACCUGUUUGUUUGUUUGUUCACAGUCCAAACACAGUUUGACCUCUUUUAUUAUCAUGGACGCUGCUUUGUUUAACUCCUUUUCACUGAGCGACAUCGGGGGGCCCAUUUGGAUGCGGUCAUACACCAUUUGCAUCCCCCGGCUGGAAUGAGUGGAAGAAAUGAUCACAGAGAGUACUACAACGAGAGAAACGCAGCCCGUUCCAAAGACGUCUGCACUGCGGGAGUGGAACGGGUGCACCUGAGGCUAAACAUGCGCUCCUCCACCAAAAACCCCUGGCCGACAGAAAUGGGGAUAUUGCAUGUUGUGGUGGAGUGACUCCCGAAGGAGAAGCCGUCCUGCAGAAACCUCAAACGUGUAAGUGUUGGAUGCAUCUGACUGAAAUGAUCAAAAACGGCCGACGCUUUAAAGACAGUUGAUACAAAUAUUUUUGGCCCUCUGUGCAGCAGGUUACUGCUGUUGGAGGGAGAAGUUUCUUCUUCAAAAUACACAUCCAUUUACAUUUGAUACCUCUUUGGAAGUAUAAACACGGAAAAGAAAAAAGUUGGUCUUAUCAAAUUGCUGUCAAAUGAACAAAGCCCCCGAGGUUCCCCAAAUAUAAGUGUAUAUAUAAUAAUAUUUUUUUAACACACAAUAAAAAAAUGCACUGCCAUCCAUUUAAAGGGAACUUUAUGUGAAGAUUCUCCAAACACAUUUUUGCUCUUGAGAUUUUUGCAGGACCUGUUCAACAGAUACAGAAAAGUUUAAAAUUGCAGUAAGUAUCCAAACUCCAGCUAUGGCCAGUCGAGACUUUUUGUAGUUCUGUGAAAAGAAGUCAGUUUGUACACAAACAGAGGAGUGCAGAUCAAGUUACAUCUGAUUGAUUCUACAUCGGGACAUCAUUGAACACGGAUCCUGUUUAAACUCUGCACAGAUGAACCAACAAUCCUGGCUAGCUGUACGGGACACGCACUCACAGAACGUGGUUUUAUCGUCUGAGUUGUGUAAAUAUCAAGGCAAUGGAGACAAAAAGAAAAUCAUCACUGAUACAUCCAUUUCCAAUGAUCGACAACUGAAGGAUUAACGAGAACUGAAAUCUUUGGUCUUAAUGUUUUGGGGGGAAAAAUGAAAACAGUCAAAGAACAGCGACUACGACUCAAAGUGUAACGUCUUUAAGCUCUGUGUGCACGGCGGACACGACACCGCCGUGUGAAUGUGACUCGUGAUGCUCACGCAGACGCCACAGGUUAAUAUUAAAACAAGUCUAUUGUAGAUUACAAUGUGUGCAAUUUCAGACGAGCCCUCUGUGGAGGAAAAGAUCCGAACGUAUCGCUGAGAAGUUUCAAAAAAGCGCCUCCUGCCCUCCUAAAGUAGCUCUGCGUCUGCCUGUAACCAAUACUGUACAUCUGUCAUAAAACUCUAAAAACCCCGGCCCUGCUCACUGUGAAACAAACUUCUUUUCAGGUUUAUUUUUCCUUCAAUAAAUGUAUUUCAUAUAAAGACAUUCAAUAGUCAGCAAUGCAAUACAGUUCAAGUAAUAAAGUUAGGGAUGUUUUGGAGGUCCCUGUUCGGAAGGAAAACAUAAAACCUUCAGACUGUGUGGUGGUGGGGGGGGGGGCUUGACUAGGCUACAGGAAGCAAUGAAGGACACGCCUCUUGAAGGGAGGACACUUCAGAAGUCAGAGAUGUGGGGCUCUAGCUUAAUCGGCUGAGAGUGAUUGACGUCUCAUUGCAGAAGUAACCCUGAUUUAUUGAUGUAGGUUUUUGUAAAUCGCUGGUUUUGUUGUGUGAUCGUUUCUACGGUAAACCUGAAACACCUGAGGGUUAAUGAGCAGAAAGGGUCGUGGAGACGUUGAACGUCCGCCGGAUGGAACAGGCCGUCGUUCCCGAUAGCACCUUGAGAGUUAUGAUCGUCACGGCCAAACACGACUGGUGGUGCUUAAAGUUGAGGGUUGGGGGGGGGGGGGACGCCGUGGACACGGACUGAUCCUAUUUGUACAUUCAAGAUUAAGUGGGUAAGCCCCGCCUUCCCUUCAGACACCCGCAAAGUCGACACUUAUGUUCUAAUUCUUGCAAGUUCAAAAUUUGGUAAAAAAAAGUCACAUUUCCUGUGUGAACGUGACUUUGUGCCCUGAAAUAAGAGACGCGGGAGGCGCAAAACAAGCCUGCAUCGUUGAAUGCGUCCAAUGACGAUUUGCUUUUACGCGGUUAUGCUAAUUGCCAUGUGGCCUUGUUUACGUUUACUUCUCAAGACCUCGUCCAACCUCUGACCACGAGGUCCCAGUAGGUGCUGCGUGUAGC